GCUAGGAGGCAUGGUAGCAGAGUGGGUAAAGCGCUUAUAGCUAUUUACUCAUAUCGAUGGUUCGAAUCCAUCCCCUAGCA